rnacentral:rRNA from 1 species
GACGAACGCUGGCGGCGUGCCUAACACAUGCAAGUCGAACGGAAAGGCCCCUUUGGGGGUACUCGACUGGCGAACGGGUGCGUAACACGUGAGUAACCUGCCCUUGACUUCGGGAUAACUUCAGGAAACUGGGGCUAAUACCGGAUAGGAAUCCUUGCUGCAUGGUGGGGGUUGGUAAGCUCCGGCGGUUUUGGAUGGACUCGUGGCUUAUCAGCUUGUUGGUGGGGUAGCGGCUUACCAAGGCUUUGACGGGUAGCCGGCCUGAGAGGGCGACCGGCCACAUUGGGACUGAGGUACGGCCCAGACUGCUACGGGAGGCAGCAGUGGGGAGUAUUGCACAAUGAGCGGAAGCCUGAUGCAGCAACGCCGCGUGCGGGAUGACGGCCUUCGGGUUGUAAACCGCUUUCAGCAGGGGCGAAGCUUGUGGUGACGGUACCUGAAGAAGAAGCACCGGCUAACUCCGU